UACGUAGGGACCAAGCGUUGUUCGGAUUUACUGGGCGUAAAGGGCGCGUAGGCGGCAAUUCAAGUCAGCUGUGAAAUCUCCGGGCUUAACUCGGAACGGUCAGCUGAUACUGCUUUGCUAGAGUGCAGAAGGGGCAAUCGGAAUUCUUGGUGUAGCGGUGAAAUGCGCAGAUAUCAGGAAGAACACCCGUGGCUAAGGCGGCUCUCUGGGACGGUACUGACGCUGAGACGCGAAAGCGUGGGGAGCGAACAGG
rnacentral:rRNA from 1 species